rnacentral:lncRNA from 1 species
AAUAGCAAUAAUGUUCAGCAAAACAAGAUCUACAAAUAAGUUUUCAUGACCAAAAUAGUCAAUUGACCCCUUAAGGAUCGAAGUUAUUGCCCUUUAUAGUUAAUUUUUAGCAUUUUUCAUAAAUUUUUGUAAAUUUUUAGAAAAUAUUUUCCACUGUAAUUACUGGGCCAAGUUCAUUAUAGAUUGAGAUAAUUGUACCAACAAGAAUCUUCAGUAAAGUAAGAUCUACAAACACA